AUCAUUUGAAAUACAAACUGUAACGACAGUCUGCUGCCUUUUUUAAGCUGUUGAAGUCGUGAACGUUAUUGAAAACAACAAACAGAAAACGAGCAGUCGCCGAUAUUUACUUAAUGACAGUGAGUCAAAUCGAGAAUCUUUAACCAAAGCAAAAGGCAGAUAAGUCCGCGAGAAGCAGUAAUGCUCAGAAAACUCGCUCGUUUGCUUUUUGGGGGCGAGGAAUCGGAGGAGGCCGCCUCAGCCCCCGAGGAAGUCGGGUCCGAAGAAGUGGGUGAGGAAUGGCUUGUGGUCAAUGGUCAAGAGGAUGAUUUGGCAGAGAUCCCAAAUGAGGAGGCCCCCACUUUCUCAGACUCUGCUCCUAAUGCGUCGGCUCUUACAAAACUAGAAACGACAAGUGUAACAGAUCCAGCGAGUGAGCAGUCCAGCGUUAAAAGCAAAGAAAGUGCCCGUAACUUGCGAGUCAUCUCGGCAUUACUUUUUCCUCCUGAAGCCCUUCGAGAGGUCACAAAGCAAAAGCGCUUGCAAAAAUCCCGUGGAUCCCACCACCCCGUGUCCCGAAAUGCUAUUCAGCGACACCAUCGUGUUCGGCAUGGAUCCCGGCGCCACUCCUUCCUGCUUCAACAGCCAGCAAGCCGCACCCUCGCUCACUAAAGUGCGGCAAGGGCAACCAUGAAGGCGCGCGUACAGCUGACACCCCCUUCAACUUUUAGAUGUCUUUGUUUUAAACGCAUCAUUUCUUCUAAAUAUCAACAAAUCUUGGACUAAUUUUACCAUAAUUAAUUACUGCACUUGUUUUUAAUUCAAACCGGCAGCUGCCGGUAUAUGAAUAGCAUUUCGGAUGAUGAUUUUUAUUUAUUUUUUUAAUGACUGAAUUUUGGACAUGCAUUUUUUUUUCAUGGAUGCAAAUGUGUAUUCAAAUUGCCUGCGAGAGGCCUCAUAUGAGUUGCAC